AGCGCGCGAACUUAACCACUCGGCCAAGGGGCCAGCCCCACUUUGUAUUUUAUUUUGAUAGAAAGUCCAAGUCAGUCACUUUGGAUUUAGUGCUAUAGUGAACAUUUUUUGUUGCCUUCUCAAUAAUCCCUUCUCUCUUCCUAGCAGUACCUUGAAUUUCUCAAUUUCAUGGUUUGAGUGGGAUUGACCCCUCCUCCAGCAGCUUCAAGGUUAGGUCCUGACUAGCUUAAGUCAGUCAGUGUGUUUUGGCCCCCUAACCCAAGGAUUGGUUCAUAGAUGAAAACAUGCCUCACUCCAGGCCAAUAAGGUACAAAGAGUCUCAAUUCUCAGAAUUGGUUUGACUUAUUGGGGAAGUAAACUUUUACUUUUCUACUACAGAAUGGGCCUGAAGAAAGUAGCUCCAAACUGUUGGCAACCAUCUUUGUGACCACAUAGAGAGCCUGGUGAAAAUGGAGUCAACAUUGAAAAAGCAGAGCCAAAAACUUGAAGGCGAGAAGCUGGCUACUUGGCCUUGUUCUUGAGCUGUUGGGGUGAACGAAAGCUUGUCUGCUGUAGGACAGGACUCCUAGAAAAGGAUGGAGCCAAAAGCUGGAAGGAGUCUACAUCUCUGAAUGACUGCCCCUCUCUGCAUUGAACUACAAGGCUCUAUGGGAUAGAAGUGGAAACCACAGAGCCGGUCCUGGUGCAGCCAGUGUGGCAACAGUGGAUCCAGUUUCCACAGGCAGCAGCGUUUGUUCCACAGAGAAGAACAUGCCCCAGAUGUUCAUGGCCUCUUCUGCCUGGACCCCAGAUUGAAACAUAUGGAGCAGACACAAACCCACCCUGAACCCUGGAACCACGCCACCUAAUUCUCCGCAGAAGCAGAGCCACUCCAGCUGAUCUGCGACCCUUACAUGAGAAAAGUACACUGCAUGAGCCUUUGAGUUUUGGGUCGUUUGUUACACAACACGAUUGCAGCGAUAGCUGUCUACUACAUUGGUUGAAUUCAGAGGGGCAAAAUGAUAAGAGUAUUCUAGUAGACAGAAUAAUGACCCCCCAAAGAUCUCCGUGUUCUAAUCCUGGAACCUGUGAAUGAUGCCUUCCAAGGCAAAAGGGACUUUGCAGCUGUGACUAAGUUGAGGAUCUUGAGAUGAGUGGGUCACCCUGGUGGGUCCAAUGUAACCUCCAAGGGUCUUUAUAAGAGGAAGGCAGGAGAGGCAGAGUAAGAGAAGGAGAUGUGACAACAGAAGCAGAGGUCAGGGUGAUGAGGCCAUGAGGCAAAAGAUGAGGGCAGGCUCUAGAAGCCGUGAAAGGAGAGCUUUUAGAAGGAAAGCAGCGUGACCAACAUCUUGAUUUUAGUUCUGUGAGAUCUGUUUCAGACUUCUGACCUCUAGCACUGGAAGACAAUAAAGUUGUAUUGCUUUAAGCCACUAAGUUGUGGUAACGGUUACAGCAGCAAUGAGACUAAUACAAAUAUAUUAAGAUUAAAAGGAUAAUUGCUAUUGCUCUCCCUGUUAAAGGAAAAUAUUUAUAUUUAAAAUAAUACACUAUGAAAUCAUCCUACUAAUGCAUUUAGAAAGUAUCCUUUCCUGGAGUCAAUCACCUCAGUGUAUUUCCAUUAACUUUUCACUUAAUGUGAUUGAAGAAUCAAGAUGGUAGCAUUAUCUUUUAAGUAGAUUAUAAUCAUCCUAUGGAAGAAUAAAUGUGUAAUACAUAAAUACUUCACAAUUCAUAUUAACUGCAUAGGGGUGAGGGUGGGGUAAAGCUUGUCCAAAUUAAUAAAAUAUUAAAAAUAUUAAGUACUUUAUGAGAAAUACAGAUUUAUUACUUUUAAGUAAUGCAAGUGACUAAAAUUACAUUAAUGAAGAGCUAGUAGAUGUUGCUAGCUAUUGACGCUUUAAAAAUAUACCUGCAUAUAUCCUACGCACAGAGACUUGGGUUCAAAAAGGACAAAAGGGGUAAGAGGUUGGAGAAUCUGUUUUUUAUAUCUAUUACUAUUAUCUAUUAUUUAUAAUUUGCAAAUAUACUAAAGUAUGGAAUAGUUCUUAACUUUUGGGAGAUUACAUACUCUCGCUAAGAUUUAAUGAUUAUUAUCAUUUUGCUAUAUUUACUUUAUGUGUUUUAAAAACUUUUUUUUUAUUGAGUUAUUGAUAGGUUACAAUCUUGUGAAAUUUCAGUUGUACA